AACGAACGCUGGCGGCAUGCCUAACACAUGCAAGUCGAACGAAGCCUUCGGGCUUAGUGGCGCACGGGUGCGUAAAGCGUGGGAAUCUGCCCUUGGGUUCGGCGUAACAGUUAGAAAUGACUGCUAAUACCGGAUGAUGUCUUCGGACCAAAGAUUUAUCGCCCAAGGAUGAGCCCGCGUAGGAUUAGGUAGUUGGUGGGGUAAGGGCCCACCAAGCCGACGAUCCUUAGCUGGUCUGAGAGGAUGAUCAGCCACACUGGGACUGAGACACGGCCCAGACUCCUACGGGAGGCAGCAGUGGGGAAUAUUGGACAAUGGGCGAAAGCCUGAUCCAGCAAUGCCGCGUGAGUGAUGAAGGCCUUAGGGUUGUAAAGCUCUUUUACCAGGGAUGAUAAUGACAGUACCUGGAGAAUAAGCUCCGGCUAACUCCGUGCCAGCAGCCGCCGUAA
rnacentral:rRNA from 1 species